rnacentral:lncRNA from 1 species
GCUCCUCGUGAGACCGGAGGUCGGGGAGGUCCUGUACCUUUACCUGGCUACAUCCCCGAAGGCAGUUAGUUCGGUGCUCGUCCGAGAGAACGAGAACCGGAUCCACCAACCGAUAUAUUAUGUCAGCAAGGUACUCCACGAAGUCGAGACUCGAUACUCGAAAGCAGAAAAAAUGAUUUUCACCCUAGUCAUUUCGGCACAGCGACU